UCCCACUCCACGUGAUCUGAAACCCGAGUGCCAUCACAGGCUGGCUGUCCACCAAUGUAAAUAACUGGUGAAGAAAGGGCCGGGCAAGACCGGUGCCAGCCGCCGCGGUAAUACCGGCGGCUCGAGUGGUGGCCGCUAUUACUGGGCUUAAAGGGUCCGUAGCUGGAUAUACAAGUCCCUUGAGAAAUCCGCCGGCUUAACCGGUGGGCGUUCAGGGGAAACUGUAUUUCUAGGGACCGGGAGAGGUGAGAGGUACUGCCGGGGUAGGAGUGAAAUCCUGUAAUCCCGGUGGGACCACCUAUGGCGAAGGCAUCUCACCAGAACGGGUCCGACAGUGAGGGACGAAAGCUGGGGGAGCAAACCGGAUUAGAUACCCGGGUAGUCCCAGCUGUAAACGAUGCGCGUUAGGUGUGUCAGUGACCACGUGUCACUGAGGUGCCGAAGGGAAACCGUGAAACGCGCCGCCUGGGGAGUACGGUCGCAAGGCUGAAACUUAAAGGAAUUGGCG
rnacentral:rRNA from 1 species